rnacentral:rRNA from 1 species
UAGAUACCCUGGUAGUCCACGCCGUAAACGAUGUCUACUUGGAGGUUGUGGCCUUGAGCCGUGGCUUUCGGAGCUAACGCGUUAAGUAGACCGCCUGGGGAGUACGGUCGCAAGAUUAAAACUCAAAUGAAUUGACGGGGGCCCGCACAAGCGGUGGAGCAUGUGGUUUAAUUCGAUGCAACGCGAAGAACCUUACCUACUCUUGACAUCCAGAGAAUCCAGCGGAGACGCAGGAGUGCCUUCGGGAGCUCUGAGACAGGUGCUGCAUGGCUGUCGUCAGCUCGUGUUGUGAAAUGUUGGGUUAAGUCCCGCAACGAGCGCAACCCUUAUCCUUGUUUGCCAGCGAGUAAUGUCGGGAACUCCAGGGAGACUGCCGGUGAUAAACCGGAGGAAGGUGGGGACGACGUCAAGUCAUCAUGGCCCUUACGAGUAGGGCUACACACGUGCUACAAUGGCGCAUACAGAGGGCAGCCAACUUGCGAAAGUGAGCGAAUCCCAAAAAGUGCGUCGUAGUCCGGAUUGGAGUCUGCAACUCGACUCCA